CCUACGGGGGGCAGCAGUGGGGAAUAUUGCGCAAUGGGCGAAAGCCUGACGCAGCCACGCCGCGUGAGCGAUGAAGGCCUUCGGGUCGUAAAGCUCUGUGGGGAGAGAAGAAUAAAGCCUGUGAAGAGCGGGCCUUGACGGUAUCUCCUUAGCAAGCACCGGCUAACUCCGUGCCAGCAGCCGCGGUAAUACGGAGGGUGCAAACGUUGCUCGGAAUCAGCGGGCGUAGGGGGCACGGUGACGGCGGAGUGAAAGCCCCGGGCUCAACCCGGGAAGUGCAUUCAAAACUGUUUCGCUUGAAUCUCGGAGGGGGUCAGAGAAUUCCCGGUGUAGAGGUGAAAUUCGUAGAUAUCGGGAGGAAUACCAGUGGCGAAGGCGCUGACCUGGACGAAGAUUGACGCUGAGGUGCGAAAGCGCGGGGAGCAAACAGGAUUAGAUACCCUGGUAGUC
rnacentral:rRNA from 1 species